UACGGAGGAUCCAAGCGUUAUCCGGAAUCAUUGGGUUUAAAGGGUCCGUAGGCGGUUUUAUAAGUCAGUGGUGAAAUCCGGCGGCUCAACUGUCGAAUUGCCAUUGAUACUGUAGGACUUGAAUCAUUGUGAAGUAACUAGAAUAUGUAGUGUAGCGGUGAAAUGCUUAGAUAUUACAUGGAAUACCGAUUGCGAAGGCAGGUUACUAACAAUGUAUUGACGCUGAUGAACGAAAGCGUGGGGAGCGAAC
rnacentral:rRNA from 1 species